UACGGAGGGUGCGAGCGUUGUCCGGAAUCACUGGGCGUAAAGGGCGCGUAGGCGGCUCAUGAAGGCUGUGGUGAAAGUCCGGGGCUCAACCUCGGAUCGGCCGUGGCGACUCGUGGGCUGGAGCACUGUAGAGGCGGGUGGAAUUCCGGGUGUAGCGGUGGAAUGCGUAGAUAUCGGGAGGAACACCAGUGGCGAAGGCGGUUGCCUGGGGCUUUGCUGACGCUGAGGCGCGAAAGCGUGGGGAGCGAUCCGG
rnacentral:rRNA from 1 species